rnacentral:rRNA from 1 species
GUCAGCAGUUAGCUCUCUGCAACUCUCACAUGGCAGCUCACUGAAGUUAAGCAGGGCUGCACUCUGUCAGUACCUGAAAGGUAGACCACAUGGGAAAGCUUGGUUGCUGCUGGAA